CUCGUAGUUGAACUUUGGGCCUGGUUGGCCGGUCUGGCUUUUUGCCACGUACUGGAAUGCAACCGGGCCUUUCCUUCUGGCUAACCUUGGGCUCCUUGUGGGUCCUUGGCGAACCAGGACUUUUACUUUGAAAAAAUUAGAGUGUUCAAAGCAGGCGUAUUGCUCGAAUAUAUUAGCAUGGAAUAAUGGAAUAGGACGUUUGGUUCUAUUUUGUUGGUUUCUAGGACCAUCGUAAUGAUUAAUAGGGACGGUCGGGGGCAUCAGUAUUCAAUUGUCAGAGGUGAAAUUCUUGGAUUUAUUGAAGACUAACUACUGCGAAAGCAUUUGCCAAGGACGUUUUCAUUAAUCAAGAACGAAAGUUAGGGGAUCGAAGAUGAUCAGAUACCGUCGUAGUCUUAACCAUAAACUAUGCCGACUAGGGAUCGGGUGGUGUUUUUUUAAUGACCCACUCGGCACCUUACGAGAAAUCAAAGUCUUCGGGUUCUGGGGGGAGUAUGGUCGCAAGGCUGAAACUUAAAGGAAUUGACGGAAGGGCACCACCAGGAGUGGAGCCUGCGGCUUAAUUUGACUCAACACGGGGAAACUCACCAGGUCCAGACACAAUAAGGAUUGACAGAUUGAGAGCUCUUUCUUGAUUUUGUGGGUGGUGGUGCAUGGCCGUUCUUAGUUGGUGGAGUGAUUUGUCUGCUUAAUUGCGAUAACGAACGAGACCUUAACCUACUAAAUAGUGGUGCUAGCAUUUGCUGGUUCUUCCACUUCUUAGAGGGACUAUCGAUUUCAAGUCGAUGGAAGUUUGAGGCAAUAACAGGUCUGUGAUGCCCUUAGACGUUCUGGGCCGCACGCGCGCUACACUGACGGAGCCAGCGAGUCUAACCUAGGCCGAGAGGUCCUGGUAAUCUUGUGAAACUCCGUCGUGCUGGGGAUAGAGCUUUGUAAUUUUUGCUCUUCAACGAGGAAUUCCUAGUAAGCGCAAGUCAUCAGCUUGCGUUGAUUACGUCCCUGCCCUUUGUACACACCGCCC
rnacentral:rRNA from 1 species